UACGGAGGGUGCAAGCGUUAUCCGGAUUCACUGGGUUUAAAGGGUGCGUAGGUGGGUUGGUAAGCCCGUGGUGAAAUCUCCAAGCUUAACUUGGAAACUGCCGUGGAUACUAUCAAUCUUGAAUCUCGUGGAGGUAAGCGGAAUAUGUCAUGUAGCGGUGAAAUGCUUAGAUAUGACAUAGAACACCGAUAGCGAAGGCAGCUUGCUACACAAUCAUUGACACUGAGGCACGAAAGCGUGGAGAUCAAACAGG
rnacentral:rRNA from 1 species